rnacentral:rRNA from 1 species
UACAGAGGGUGCGAACGUUGCUCGGAAUUACUGGGCGUAAAGCGCAUGUAGGCGGAUCCAUAAGUCGGGCGUGAAAUCCCCAGGCUCAACCUGGGAACUGCGUUCGAAACUGUGGGUCUAGAGUGUCGGAGAGGAUGGCGGAAUUCCUGGUGUAGAGGUGAAAUUCGUAGAUAUCAGGAGGAACACCGGUGGCGAAGGCGGCCAGCUGGACGACAACUGACGCUGAGAUGCGAAAGCGUGGGGAGCAAACAGG